rnacentral:misc_RNA from 1 species
GAGUUGAGAGUGAGGCGAGUGGGCGAGAGUGGGAAGACGCGUUUAGGUGAAACGCGCGCAGGCUUUGGCCAAAGCAGAUCGAGUGAAAUGGGAGAAGAUGAUUGGUCAAUGAAUGUGACCUCUCUCACUCCCACAACACAUA